rnacentral:rRNA from 1 species
GAUGAACGCUAGCUACAGGCUUAACACAUGCAAGUCGAGGGGUAACGAGAGGAAAGCUUGCUUUCCUUGUCGACGACCGGCGCACGGGUGAGUAACGCGUAUCCAACCUGCCCCCAACUAGGGAAUAACCUUGCAAAAGUAAGACUAAUACCCUAUAAUUUCCUCAGAUGUCAUCUGACGAGGAAUAAAGAUUUAUCGGUUGUGGAUGGGGAUGCGUCUGAUUAGCUUGUUGGCGGGGUAACGGCCCACCAGGGCAACGAUCAGUAGGGGUUCUGAGAGGAAGGUCCCCCACAUUGGAACUGAGACACGGUCCAAACUCCUACGGGAGGCAGCAGUGAGGAAUAUUGGUCAAUGGGCGGAAGCCUGAACCAGCCAAGUAGCGUGCAGGAUGACGGCCCUAUGGGUUGUAAACUGCUUUUAUACAGGAAUAAAGUUAGCCACGUGUGGUUAUUUGUAGGUACUGUAUGAAUAAGGACCGGCUAAUUCCGUGCCAGCACCCGCCGUAA